UACAGAGGUCUCAAGCGUUGUUCGGAUUUAUUGGGCGUAAAGGGUGCGUAGGCGGUAUGGCAAGUCAAGUGUGAAAUCUCGGAGCUCAACUUCGAAACUGCACUUGAUACUACUAUGCUAGAGGGUUGUAGAGGAGACCGGAAUUCACGGUGUAGCAGUGAAAUGCGUAGAUAUCGUGAGGAAGACCAGUUGCGAAAGCGGGUCUCUGGGCAAUUCCUGACGCUGAGGCACGAAGGCUAGGGGAGCAAACGGG
rnacentral:rRNA from 1 species